rnacentral:rRNA from 1 species
UACAGAGGGGGCAAGCGUUAUUCGGAAUUAUUGGGCGUAAAGGGCGCGUAGGCGGUCCUUCAAGUCUCUCGUGAAAUCCCUCGGCUUAACUGAGGACGUGCGGGAGAUACUGAUGGGCUUGAGUCCGGAAGAGGGUGGUGGAAUUCCCAGUGUAGCGGUGAAAUGCGUGAGAUAUUGGGAGGAACGACCGGUGGCGAAGGCGGCCACCUGGGCCGGAACUGACGCUGAGGCGCGAAAGCGUGGGGAGCAAACGGG